rnacentral:ncRNA from 2 species
UUCGCCACACUUACCUCAGGUGCCUUCGGUAUUUUUUAUUGAAGGUUAAACGGGAAGCUGGUGCGUACCGAUUAGAUGACCGGACAAAGCCAGCACUGCCCCCGCAACGGUAAAUGAGCAGAGGUUUGCUUGUUACAAGUUUUUUCAAAACACCGUAAAACGCUACUCAAGCCACCUCGCAUAUCUGCAAGAUGCCACUGUGUCUGACACGGGAAGGCGCAGAUAGGGAAACAAUUCCGCUCAUCAGUCCGGAGACCGGCCCGAAGUAACAUACAGCG